rnacentral:rRNA from 1 species
GAUGAACGCUGGCGGCGUGCCUAAUACAUGCAAGUCGAGCGAACAGAUGAUGAGCUUGCUCCUCUGACGUUAGCGGCGGACGUGUGAGUAACACGUGGAUAACCCACCUAUAAGACUGGGAUAACUUCGGGAAACCGGAGCUAAUACCGUAUAAUAUAUUGAACCGCAUGGUUCAAUAGUGAAAGACGGUUUUGCUGUCACUUAUAGAUGGAUCCGCGCCGCAUUAGCUAGUUGGUAAGGUAACGGCUUACCAAGGCAACGAUGCGUAGCCGACCUGAGAGGGUGAUCGGCCACACUGGAACUGAGACACGGUCCAGACUCCUACGGGAGGCAGCAGUAGGGAAUCUUCCGCAAUGGGCGAAAGCCUGACGGAGCAACGCCGCGUGAGUGAUGAAGGUCUUCGGAUCGUAAAACUCUGUUAUUAGGGAACAACAAAUGUGUAAGUAACUAUGCACGUCUUGACGGUACCUAAUCAGAAAGCCACGGCUAACUACGUG